rnacentral:rRNA from 1 species
CUACGGGUUGCUGCAGUGGGGAAUAUUGGACAAUGGGGGAAACCCUGAUCCAGCAAUGCCGCGUGUGUGAAGAAGGCCUGCGGGUUGUAAAGCACUUUCGGUUGGGAGGACUGCUUCUAGCACUAAUAUUGUUGGAAGUUGACGUUACCUUCAGAAGAAGCACCGGCUAACUCCGUGCCAGCAGCCGCGGUAAUACGGAGGGUGCAGGCGUUAAUCGGAAUUACUGGGCGUAAAGCGCGCGUAGGGGGCUAGAUCAGUCGGGUGUGAAAGCCCCGGGCUUAACCUGGGAACUGCAUCCGAUACUGUCUAGCUUGAGUACAGGAGAGGAGAGUGGAAUUCCACAUGUAGCGGUGAAAUGCGUAGAUAUGUGGAGGAACACCAAUGGCGAAGGCAGCUCUCUGGCCUGAUACUGACGCUGAGGUGCGAAAGCGUUGGGAGCAAACAGGAUUAGAUACCCCAGUAGUC